CAGUACUUCACGUACAAGCGGGGACUAC
rnacentral:piRNA from 1 species